rnacentral:rRNA from 1 species
AGAGUUUGAUCCUGGCUCAGAUUGAACGCUGGCGGCAGGCCUAACACAUGCAAGUCGAGCGGUAGCACAGAGAGCUUGCUCUCGGGUGACGAGCGGCGGACGGGUGAGUAAUGUCUGGGAAACUGCCUGAUGGAGGGGGAUAACUACUGGAAACGGUAGCUAAUACCGCAUAACGUCGCAAGACCAAAGAGGGGGACCUUCGGGCCUCUUGCCAUCAGAUGUGCCCAGAUGGGAUUAGCUAGUAGGUGGGGUAACGGCUCACCUAGGCGACGAUCCCUAGCUGGUCUGAGAGGAUGACCAGCCACACUGAAACUGAGACACGGUCCAGACUCCUACGGGAGGCAGCAGUGGGGAAUAUUGCACAAUGGGCGCAAGCCUGAUGCAGCCAUGCCGCGUGUAUGAAGAAGGCCUUCGGGUUGUAAAGUACUUUCAGCGGGGAGGAAGGUGCUGAGGUUAAUAAUCUCAGCAAUUGACGUUACCCGCAGAAGAAGCACCGGCUAACUCCGUGUCAGCAGCCGCGGUAAUACGGAGGGUGCAAGCGUUAAUCGGAAUUACUGGGCGUAAAGCGCACGCAGGCGGUCUGUUAAGUCAGAUGUGAAAUCCCCGGGCUCAACCUGGGAACUGCAUUUGAAACUGGCAGGCUUGAGUCCUGUAGAGGGGGGUAGAAUUC